GAAACGCGAUAAGUAAUGUGAAUUGCAGAAUUCAGUGAAUCAUCGAAUCUUUGAACGCACAUGGCGCCUUCCAGUAUCCUGGGAGGCAUGCCUGUCCGAGCGUCGUUUCAACCCUCGAGCCCCCGUGGCCCGGCGUUGGGGAUCUGCCCAGGCAGGCCCCGAAAACCAGUGGCGGCCCCGUUACAGGCCCUUCCUUCGCGUAGUAAUACUGCCUCGCAUCGGGAGCCGGCGGGCUUCCAGACCCUAACCCCCCAACAAGUCCGCGUCGGCGGCACCAAGGUAGACCUCGGAGCAUGUAGGAAUACCCGCUGAACUUAA
rnacentral:misc_RNA from 1 species